GUCGCUUCCCCGCCCUGCAGCGCGCGGAGGUGGCCGUGCGGUGGGGCAGAAGCCGGGUUAGGCCGAAGCCACAUGGAAUAGGAUGACUCAUUGUCGGCCCUAGGCCACUAGACGUGGCCCCGGCGCCGGCCGCCGAGGUCCGCAGCACCUUCCUCCCGUGGUCUGGGGCCGUCCCCCAGGACUCUGGCCGCACUGACAGGGCGCCUCUGGCCCCGGCUUCAGAAGGUGACCUCUGGAUCUCCCCUGGAUCUCUGGGGCGGGUCUGGGACGUCCCCGGAUCCCCAGUUUGGAUCCUUCUGGGGAUGCCCGUGAGGAGGCAGCGGAGCCGAGGCCCCAUACGUGGGCUGAUGUGUUCGAAUGGUACACCACUGCUCAGCCUAGAAGACCAGUGCCCCCCCAGAGAUUUCUGCCUCGCAGGGGAGGCCUCGGGACACCGCCACCCAGCUCUUGCUCCUGCCCACGCUCACGGGCGCGGUGCAUCUGCCUUCUCUCAGACCUGUCAGGCUGCGCCUGUUCUGUGCCUUGUGGUUCCACCAAAGCCGAAUACUAAACAGGAACCCCCACGACCAUGAGACAUUUCUGUGUGGAGUGAGUCAGACUCGGAUCCUGCAGGACAGACAGAUGCGACCCACCCAGAACCCAGCUGAGAAUCACUAAACUGCGGGGACUCCCCAACCUGUUGGUCACCGUUGAGCAGGGCGCUGGGUGGAGGACCGGGACUAACUCUCAAGCUUUGGACCCCUGUGAGAUCAACGCUCUUCUACUUACGAUAAAAAUGUGAAUCACUUAAAAAUUGCUCUUUUUGGCUAAAAUCUAUUAAAAUAUUUUAAGGGGCUAAAAAUAAUCAAAUCCUCAGAGAUUGAUUACCAUCACUCCUAAGAGUCUUAAAAGAAAAUAUCCCAUCAAAGAGUUCUAAAUAAAGACAAGCAGAAAAAAAUCAGACACAAAAGAGCCCAUGAUCAUUUUUAUUCUUUAUUAGUAUCGUUUGAGGUCUUCAACAAUUUUGCUUCAAACUGAGAUCUUCUCUGCAAAGAAACACUUCUGAGGAACUGAACUGUAAUCGAGGCUAUGAAAAAGCCAUCUUUCUGAGAUGAGUUCAGAUACGGAUUCCCAGGGAUCAUUUGUGCAAAGAGGCUCUUACAGGGGAUGCUGGUAAAUCACAGUGGUUUGGCCUUUUCCCUCGUGCUUUUAGCUGACAAAAUCCUUUGCUGUGAAAGCUUUACUACACCAUCCAUUUUACCCAAGGAUAAAAUCUUAGAGGAAUAAUCUUUCUUUGAUGCUUCUUUUUCUGGGCUAUUUCCUAUUUCAUCAUUAUUUUGUGUCUUCCAUCGAGUCUUUUCCUCAGCAGAAAUGGAAAUUAUGGGUUUCAAGACCUUUUUCCCUUUUCCGGAAUCCCAUUUUGAUUUAUCUGAGACUGUUUGAGGUGCCAAGACCAUGAUUUUAGCCCUCUGAAGCUUAUCCUCGUUCGUGCACAUUGCAGAGCUGUAUCAGAACUGCACGAGAACUCUGAGAGCUGUGGUAGGUCAAUUUCACCUAGUGCUCACACUGUGAGGCGCCAUUCCUAGAACCCUCGGAAUAUUGUUGGCUCAUGCCUUGAGGCCAACAUCUCCUGCCCUGGAUGUGCUGUUUCUCUCAGAAGGCUGCAAAGAUCAAAAGUUAUCAAGAGGUCAUAUAUAUACCAUGAAUAACCAGAAGCAUGCUUCUUUUCAAGACAUAGAACAGAAACUCACUGUAGGAUUCCAUGGACCAACGAAUGAGAAGAUACCAGGAAGAUUAGCCCUGAGCUAACAUCUGCUGCCAAUCCCCAUCUCUUUGCUGAGGAAGACUGGCCCUGAACUAACAUGCGUGCCCAUCUUCCUCUACUUUAUAUGUGGGACACGUACCACAGCAUGGCUUGCCAAGCGGUGCCAUGUCCACACCCAGGAUCCCAACCGACGAACCCCAGGCCACCGAAGUGGAACGUGUGCACUUAACUGCUGCGCCACCAGUCCGGUCCCUUUUCUAAUCUUUAUUGUAUUGAAGUUUAAAUCUGUUCCUCUUGUUUCACAUAUUUGCUGUCACCAAUAGGUAGAUUUUUCCAGUGCCAGCCCUGUGUUUAUUUCCUCCACGGCUCACAGCUGCAACUCAGGUGGUUGUCACCAGGUAACGAGGAAAAUCUCAGGUAUUGGCAGAGACACUCAGGAAGUUCCCCUGAACGAGUCCAGACUCUGUUGACACCACCCAACAAUGAGCUUCCCCACUGUACUCGGGUUAAGAAGAGACAAUCAGAGCCUAUAUUCUCCAUCCAGAAGACAGGCUGCACUGUGUCAUGAGGAGGAAGGAGUAUACAGUACCUAAAGGGUCUUUGUUGCAAGUGUCUUUUUGUUUAAGUAUACUAUGUCUAAAUUUUCUCUGUCAGAAGUCCUUCAGUUUGAGAAAUUAAGCUUGUUUGCUCAUUCUUUCAAUAAAUGUAUAUCUAUAAACAGAUUAGGGAUGAAGAAAGCUGUCUACACUGUCCCAAACAAAGUAAAAGUUUGCAAUUGGUUGUCUCCAUGAGCCUUCAAUUUCUGCCUUAAAGAAAACAAUAAAAGAGGUUACGUGUGUGUGUUUGGGGCCAUGGUAGUUGUGGGGCGAGCCUUCCCUCCACCUUUCUCCACUGAGACCAUGGGCUACUCUGCUC
rnacentral:lncRNA from 1 species